UCUAUGCCAGCUCUCGAGGCAAUCCCACUCCUCCCAUUCCCUGUAACCUCUUCUCUCUCUCAGGCUCAUCAACUGUCCCCAGAUUCUACCCUCACCCGCACACUAGGGGUGCGGCCAAUUAACCCCCCGACCCGCACGUCUUUGGGAUGUGGGUAAAACGCGGAGCACCCGGGGGAAAGCCACGCGGACACGGGGAGAAGGUGCAAACUCCACAGCGGCGGAGGUCGGGGUCGAAGCCGGGUCUCUGCAGCUGUGAGGCAGCGGCACCCCUGCUCACACAGCGUUUAAUAAUGAACUGCCACGUACCUCAGGUACUGUGCAGAGUGAACACUGCCGGAGGCUGGGCCGACCUCCAGACCACAAGCUGGGGUUGCUUUAUUGUUCCGUCUGCGUUUGGAACCGGAAGGAGGCGGUUGGUUAUUGCAUAACUCGUACCCAUAGCACAGUGACAAAUUUGUACCAACACAAGGGACAGGGAGAGAGAACUGCAAGCCCCUCCGAGGGUCAAGCACACUGAACAGUUUCAACCGCUUUAACAGAUUCCCC